AGUGAACGCUGGCGGUAGGCCUAACACAUGCAAGUCGAACGGCAGCACAGUAAGAGCUUGCUCUUACGGGUGGCGAGUGGCGGACGGGUGAGGAAUACAUCGGAAUCUACUUUUUCGUGGGGGAUAACGUAGGGAAACUUACGCUAAUACCGCAUACGACCUACGGGUGAAAGCAGGGGAUCUUCGGACCUUGCGCGAUUGAAUGAGCCGAUGUCGGAUUAGCUAGUUGGCGGGGUAAAGGCCCACCAAGGCGACGAUCCGUAGCUGGUCUGAGAGGAUGAUCAGCCACACUGGAACUGAGACACGGUCCAGACUCCUACGGGAGGCAGCAGGGGGGAAUAUUGGACAAUGGGCGCAAGCCUGAUCCAGCCAUACCGCGUGGGUGAAGAAGGCCUUCGGGUUGUAAAGCCCUUUUGUUGGGAAAGAAAAGCAGCAGGUUAAUACCCCGCUGUUCUGACGGUACCCAAAGAAUAAGCACCGGCUAACUGCGU
rnacentral:rRNA from 1 species